AUUCUUUCCUAAGUACUAGUGCCGCAGGAGAUAUUUAGUUUAAAUCCCUGCUGCUCAAGUGCUUAUCAAGGAGU
rnacentral:pre_miRNA from 1 species